rnacentral:misc_RNA from 1 species
GUGAAUCAUCGAUUUUUUGAACGCAAAUUGCACUCUCUGGUAUUCCGGAGAGUAUGCCUGUUUGAGGGUCAGUUUAAAUAAAAAUCGGUGUGGUUGCUGCCUUUCGCGGUGACGCACCGGAUUUUGGUCAUCUUGUCUUCGGUUAAGGGACCUAAAUUUUUGCAUGAUUUUUUUCGAACGUAUUUAAAUGUUUUUACGUACGUUUGCAAUUUCGAAUCCUAGGUGUGGUCAUCCUCACG